AAGUCGAACCCUCGUAGCAAUGCGAGAGUGGCAGACGGGUGAGUAACACGUGGGAACCUUCCCUAUGGUUCGGAAUAGCCCAGGGAAACUUGGGGUAAUACCGGAUAAGCCCUUGCGGGGAAAGAUUUAUCGCCAUUGGAUGGGCCCGCGUCGGAUUAGCUAGUUGGUGAGGUAACGGCUCACCAAGGCGACGAUCCGUAGCUGGUCUGAGAGGAUGAUCAGCCACACUGGGACUGAGACACGGCCCAGACUCCUACGGGAGGCAGCAGUGGGGAAUAUUGGACAAUGGGCGCAAGCCUGAUCCAGCCAUGCCGCGUGAGUGACGAAGGCCUUAGGGUUGUAAAGCUCUUUUGGCGGGGAAGAUAAUGACGGUACCCGCAGAAUAAGCUCCGGCUAACUUCGUGCCAGCAGUCGCGGUAAUACGAAGGGAGCUAGCGUUGUUCGGAAUCACUGGGCGUA
rnacentral:rRNA from 1 species